UGCCCCGGGAGAAUUACGGUGAGCCUGUCAUUAUUCAGGGAGGCUAGAUCCUCUGUAUUGAGAAGGAUCAUGAUGGGCUCCUCGGUGCUCUCCAGGUAGCAAGACCACACAUCCAAGGCAGCC
rnacentral:pre_miRNA from 1 species